AUUGAACGCUGGCGGCAGGCUUAACACAUGCAAGUCGAGCGGGGAUAGGGUGCUUGCACCUGAUUCCUAGCGGCGGACGGGUGAGUAAUGCUUAGGAAUCUGCCUAUUAGUGGGGGACAACGUUCCGAGAGGGACGCUAAUACCGCAUACGUCCUACGGGAGAAAGCAGGGGAUCUUCGGACCUUGCGCUAAUAGAUGAGCCUAAGUCGGAUUAGCUAGUUGGUGGGGUAAAGGCCUACCAAGGCGACGAUCUGUAGCGGGUCUGAGAGGAUGAUCCGCCACACUGGGACUGAGACACGGCCCAGACUCCUACGGGAGGCAGCAGUGGGGAAUAUUGGACAAUGGGGGGAACCCUGAUCCAGCCAUGCCGCGUGUGUGAAGAAGGCCUUUUGGUUGUAAAGCACUUUAAGCGAGGAGGAGGCUUACCUGGUUAAUACCUGGGAUAAGUGGACGUUACUCGCAGAAUAAGCACCGGCUAACUCUGUGCCAGCCGCCGCCGUAACAC
rnacentral:rRNA from 1 species